rnacentral:rRNA from 1 species
AGAGUUUGAUCCUGGCUCAGGACGAACGCUGGCGGCGUGCUUAACACAUGCAAGUCGUGGGCACCAGCAAUGGUGACCGGCGAACGGGUGCGUAACACGUGAGCGACCUACCGAUUCGUGGGGGAUAGCCGGCCCAACGGCCGGGUAAUACCGCAUACGCCAAGUGGACCGCAUGGUCUGUUUGGGAAACCUCCGGGGCGAAUCGAGGGGCUCGCGGCCUAUCAGCUAGUUGGCGGGGUAAUGGCCCACCAAGGCAUCGACGGGUAGCUGGUCUGAGAGGAUGGCCAGCCACAUUGGGACUGAGAAACGGCCCAGACUCCUACGGGAGGCAGCAGUGGGGAAUCUUGCGCAAUGGCCGCAAGGCUGACGCAGCGACGCCGCGUGUGGGAUGAAGCUCUUCGGGGUGUAAACCACUGUUGCCCGGGACGAACGGCGAGAUUUAUCUCGCGUGACGGUACCGGGUGAGGAAGCACCGGCUAACUCCGUGCCAGCAGCCGCGGUAAU